rnacentral:piRNA from 1 species
UCACCUUUGCCUCCUUUUGACAUGAUAUG